AGAAUCAACGCUGGCGGCGUGCCUAACACAUGCAAGUCGAACGAGAAAGUGGAGCAAUCCAUGAGUAAAGUGGCGCACGGGUGAGUAACACGUGACUAACCUACCCUUGAGUGGGGGAUAACCUAGGGAAACCUGGGCUAAUACCGCAUAAUACCUUCGGGUCAAAGGAGCAAUUCGCUUAAGGAGGGGGUCGCGGCCGAUUAGUUAGUUGGCGGGGUAAUGGCCCACCAAGACUGUGAUCGGUA
rnacentral:rRNA from 1 species